AUACGGAGGGUCCAAGCGUUAUCCGGAAUCAUUGGGUUUAAAGGGUCCGCAGGCGGUCAAUUAAGUCAGAGGUGAAAGCCCAUCGCUCAACGAUGGAACUGCCUUUGAUACUGGUUGACUUGAGUUAUACGGAAGUAGAUAGGAUAAGUAGUGUAGCGGUGAAAUGCAUAGAUAUUACUUAGAAUACCGAUUGCGAAGGCAGUCUACUACGCAUAUACUGACGCUGAGGGACGAAAGCGUGGGGAGCGAACAGGAUUAGAAACCCUAGUAGUCC
rnacentral:rRNA from 1 species